GCUCCGGUGGUGUAGCCCGGUUUAGCAUAACGGCCUUUCGAGCCUCUAUAGGCCGGGAAAGUCGUUGAUCGCGGGUUCAAAUCCCGCCCGGAAGG
rnacentral:tRNA from 1 species